GAAGAUGUCGCACCGAUACGAGGAUGCCGUGCUAAAAGGAACGGCCCUGCUGUUGCUGGACCUGCCACCAGCGCUCCUCAACGCCCCCCAGCCGCUGCAGAAGCUGUUCGAUACGCAUUACCCCGAUAACGGAAUAACGCACAUCUUGUUGAACACAACGCCGAUCCGCAGCACAUCUGACGAGAAUGUCAUGGAGUGUGGGGUCGUGUUCUUUUCGUCCUCGAAAGCGCUGUGGACGAUUCUGGACCGAGUGCGAGUGCUACUGCGCACCGAGGACGGCGCGCUAGAGUUGCGGCGUGGCUACUUGACACUGGGUGUGCAUGAGGUGCUGGUGGAGGGAGUUGUGACGUGGGGCGCAGAAGGGCGACAGCGCCCCACCUCUGUUCCACAGGCCGCUACACCAACACUCGCGCCGGCCGUGGCGCCAUGUGCCAAGGAUGCGAAAAACUCUGCUAUGUCGGGGAGCGCGCCGACGCUAGUCUCCGUCCCGGCCACCACUUCAGCGACAGCAUCGGAAGCCGUGCGUGCUCCGCGAAAUGAAGAAGUGCACUCGAGUCGCGGAGAGACGGUGGGUGGCGUGCAAAGUUGUGGUGCGGUUUGCGAGACGGUGGUAGUCACUUUUCUGUUCAAGGAAAUAUAUAAUCGCCACCGCGACAACAGAGAGGACCCCACGCAUGGAAGACAGGGUGGUGUUGCGGCGAGCUUCCCUCUGUCGCCGUUCAUGGUGUACCAAAUGCUGGUAGGUGAGUGUCAGCCCAGAAAAAUUGUUCUCAUCGAGUGCCAGCGCGCUUUGGCGAAGCGCGAAUGGAGGGCACUGGUCGAGCUGGAGAACGCUGAUGUGGCGGCGCAAGUGAUUCGCGUCUUCACGCGCCGCGCCGUGGAGUUUAUAAGUGAGUCGAACGCAUACAAGGUACCGGAGCGCAGUCGCAAGCCGCCAGAGAAGGGGCCGCUGCCGAUCUGCGCCGAGGUGCGCUACUAUGUGAAUUGCUACUACAGUGUGCGCAAAGGCCAGAGCCAUUUUCUUCCAAACGGGGCUCGCAACUAUCAUCGCACUGUGGCGGUUCGUCCCUUCUGCAGAGCCGAGCUGGACCUUACCGAUCCGCAGAACCUGGCAAGGCUGCAUGUUAAAGCUCCGCGCGAGUGGAAACAUGAUCCUCACGCAAUAAGACCUGCGUCUAUUCGUGAGAGCGAAUCGCCGAACAGAGCCGACACGUGCGAGGAGGAAGGCCGACCAAAUAAAUCGCCGUCGGCUGCCGCGCCGCCCAAGCGUCGUCGCUCGCCGUCCCUGCGCGACAGCCAGCGGCGUUCGAGGCGGUCGCCGUCGUACUCACGCACCCGCUCCGCCUCCUGCUCCUCGUCUCGCUCGUACUCCCGUGCCUCUUCGUCGUCAUCGUCACGGCGUUACCGCCGCUACCACGGUCGCCGCGUUGACCGCCGCCACGGCGAUGAGCGGUGGCACGAUGCGCGCGCGGCGGCGCCAAGGGAGCAUCAGAAUACUGAAGCAGCCGGCCCUGUUGCGGCGGUGGCCCCGGAGACGGCUGUCCGUGUCGAGGCCCAGUCAAUGGCCGCGGCGACGCAUGCGCAGACGCAGCCCCAGCAGAAGACACACGUGAUGCGCGAGCCUGCGUCAGCAACGCCUGCGCUGCCGGCGGUGGCCUACGACAGCCACGGUCCUCUACCGGUCGGGUGGCGCCCCAUCUUCUCUCAGGAGUACCAGCAAACCUACUACGCCUACCGUGACCCGAACACCGGUGUGGAAACGACCACGUGGGAACGACCUGCGACAUAAAGCAGUGUGGGGUGCAGAUGGGGGUGGGGGAGGAAUAGCGUGCAUGUCCGUGUGUUGCACCUGUCUGUGCGCCCACUCCUACCCGCAUAAGCGGCCCUCCCCCCCCCACACACACACACUCUCCGGCGCGAAUGUACAAGAGCCGAGCGGAGGUGUAGCCGGGAACCAUUCAGGAUAGGAAACUGAAGCGUGUCACGCCUUGCGGGGUAAGCCCGUUGGGUGGUUGGUGCGUGCCUUUGCACGCACGUUUUCUCUUCGCACAGCGAAGCACGCGACGCAGCGCUGACCGUGUCGUUGCUGUACUGUGUGUGUGCCGGUGCGCGGACAAAAUGGAAUCGCUGCCUUCAAGCCUCAUUGAGGAGAGGGCGUGGAUUUCUCGCUCCGCUCUUGGGACGUGUGUGCGAUGUCUCUGUUCUCUGUGCUGUCUGUGCGCGUGUGUGCCCUUGAUGUGCGCAAGCGACACGUAAGCACUGUCGUAGCGCGUUACUCUUGCCGUGUACAGCGAUGAAAAGUGUGCGCUAUGCGAGGAGGUGCCUGGUGGUAGCAGCUUGAGAGAGGCCAGUGGGAGAUGCUCUGCAAUGACAGAGGAAACUGAUAGGGCGGCAAGAGACAAGCCGAGGGGAGGGGGAGAAUAGAGGCGGAGGAGUACCGAAGCGCUUUCGCGUUGCGUGCCUUGCGCAUCACUCUUACUGCAUCUUGACAUCUCUUUCCCUCUAGGCUGCCCCCAUCUGCCCCUCCGCACCCCCGCCUCCCGCCCGAGUUUGGUGAUGGGCUGACGCCAUUCAGUGAUGUUCAGGCCUUCUCGCAUUUCUUGCCUACUCGGCAGACGGUGAGGGGGGGUAAGGGGUAACGGACAACACGUGAAGUGGACAUGACGUCACAGGUGUCACUAGAGUUCCAGGGAGAUGAUAGCUGAGCGUGAGGCAGGGAAUGCCGUCUAGCAACCUCUGGCAGCCCCUUUUUGCCACUGCUGCUUUGCGUCGAUCCCUCCCUCCCCCCGCUUCGUCUCCGCUGCCGCUAUCGGCGGGUGUGAGAGAGAGGGGGUUGCGAAGCGUGCGACGUAGAUGCACUACUGCUGCGAGCGUAGCGUAGCAGGUAUGCGUGUGUGUAUGUGCGAAUGCGCAUGGCGACAAUGCUGCUCUUGUCGAAACUGAAUGUUUCGUGCCUGCGUGCUCGCGCACGGGCGCUAAGCUCCCUAGACGCUUGCGCACACACGAGGAGCACGCAUUGCUGUGGCUCAGCCUAUGGGUUUUCAGCGAACAAUGAAGUCAUAGGGCUCUGCGCCCGACCACUCUUCCAGCCUCUUCUGUCGAUGUCUCCCCCGCGCUGCGCAAGCAGAAAGAGCGCAGUGGAUUCGACUGAUGCUCCCCCAAAAACGGACUUAUCUACUUCGCGUGCGUUUUCUGAUCAGCAAAGCAGCGCGUAUUGUGCGUGAUAGCGGACAGCGGAUGGCAGCAGGUGGACGGGCGCUUCCCAUGCUGCUCUUGCGUGUUUUCUGUUUCUUUUUUUUUCAUUGUGAGCUCUUCAAUGGCCUCACAGUUAACGUGCUUGCUUCAGCAGGUUU
rnacentral:misc_RNA from 1 species